rnacentral:rRNA from 1 species
UACGAAGGGGCUAGCGUUGCUCGGAAUCACUGGGCGUAAAGCGCACGUAGGCGGAUUGCUAAGUCAGGGGUGAAAUCCUGGAGCUCAACUCCAGAACUGCCUUUGAUACUGGCGACCUUGAGUCCGGGAGAGGUGAGUGGAACUGCGAGUGUAGAGGUGAAAUUCGUGAGAUAUUCGCAAGAACACCAGUGGCGGAAGGCGGCUCACUGGCCCCGGUAC